GCUCAGGACGAACGCUGGCGGCGUGCCUAAUACAUGCAAGUCGAGCGAACAGACGAGGAGCUUGCUCCUCUGACGUUAGCGGCGGACGGGUGAGUAACACGUGGAUAACCUACCUAUAAGACUGGGAUAACUUCGGGAAACCGGAGCUAAUACCGGAUAACAUGUUGAACCGCAUGGUUCAACAGUGAAAGACGGUCUUGCUGCCACUUAUAGAUGGAUCCGCGCCGCAUUAGCUAGUUGGUAAGGUAACGGCUUACCAAGGCAACGAUGCGUAGCCGACCUGAGAGGGUGAUCGGCCACACUGGAACUGAGACACGGUCCAGACUCCUACGGGAGGCAGCAGUAGGGAAUCUUCCGCAAUGGGCGAAAGCCUGACGGAGCAACGCCGCGUGAGUGAAGAAGGUCUUCGGAUCGUAAAACUCUGUUAUUAGGGAAGAACAAAUGUGUAAGUAACUAUGCACGUCUUGACGGUACCUAAUCAGAAAGCCACGGCUAACUACGUGCCAGCAGCCGCGGUAAUACGUAGGUGGCAAGCGUUAUCCGGAAUUAUUGGGCGUAAAGCGCGCGUAGGCGGUUUUCUAAGUCUGAUGUGAAAGCCCACGGCUCAACCGUGGAGGGUCAUUGGAAACUGGAAAACUUGAGUGCAGAAGAGGAAAGUGGAAUUCCAUGUGUAGCGGUGAAAUGCGCAGAGAUAUGGAGGAACACCAGUGGCGAAGGCGACUUUCUGGUCUGUAACUGACGCUGAUGUGCGAAAGCGUGGGGAUCAAACAGGAUUAGAUACCCUGGUAGUCCACGCCGUAAACGAUGAGUGCUAAGUGUUAGGGGGUUUCCGCCCUUAGUGCUGCAGCUAACGCAUUAAGCACUCCGCCUGGGGAGUACGACCGCAAGGUUGAAACUCAAAGGAAUUGACGGGGACCCGCACAAGCGGUGGAGCAUGUGGUUUAAUUCGAAGCAACGCGAAGAACCUUACCAAAUCUUGACAUCCUCUGACCCCUCUAGAGAUAGAGUUUUCCCCUUUCGGGGGACAGAGUGACAGGUGGUGCAUGGUUGUCGUCAGCUCGUGUCGUGAGAUGUUGGGUUAAGUCCCGCAACGAGCGCAACCCUUAAGCUUAGUUGCCAUCAUUAAGUUGGGCACUCUAAGUUGACUGCCGGUGAUAAACCGGAGGAAGGUGGGGAUGACGUCAAAUCAUCAUGCCCCUUAUGAUUUGGGCUACACACGUGCUACAAUGGACAAUACAAAGGGUAGCGAAACCGCGAGGUCAAGCAAAUCCCAUAAGUUGUUCUCAGUUCGGAUUGUAGUCUGCAACUCGACUACAUGA
rnacentral:rRNA from 1 species